AGUUUCUUUUAAUUAGACUUGUGUUGAUUGACGGCGAAAUGUCUUCAUUGUUGCGAAAAAGCGCCCGGAAAUCGAGCUAAUAAACGCACAUUUGGUGGCAAUUUCCACAAAACCCUUAGGGCUAGUAAUGUUUCCCGAAAAUGUUCGCUCCCGCCAAACCAUCAACGUUCAUUCAAACUUAACUCGUAGCACAGAAAAACUCCAGGUUGUACCCUAAAAUUCAAGUUCCGCAAUGUGCGUGUUUGAUCAGCGACCGAGCGUUAGAAUGGAAAAUCCGCUCCGUUUGGAGCGCUGAGUGAAACUAAGCACUAAAAUUCGUAGGAGCUGGAAAGGCGCUGGAACAGAGCGGGUUUCGGGAAUUGCUGCCCUAGAAAAACAGGAUUGGAUUUGCUGGGUGGAAAUUUUAACCAUAUCACUUAUGGACGAAACUAACAGAGACAGAUGAUCAACGCAGUUUGCACUAAACUCUUAGGGAAAGUGAAAAAUUAUCUCACCCUUUAAAAAUUAAUUGAGCCUAAAAAGUAGCAAAAUCCCAAUCAAAAUGGGUCUAAUUUGUAAAUUUUGGAGUAAAAAUAACAAAAUUGUCCAAACCG